UACGUAGGGUGCGAGCGUUAAUCGGAAUUACUGGGCGUAAAGCGUGCGCAGGCGGUGAUGUAAGACAGGUGUGAAAUCCCCGGGCUUAACCUGGGAACUGCAUUCGAGACUGCAUGGCUAGAGUAUGGGAGAGGGAAGUGGAAUUUCAGGUGUAGCGGUGAAAUGCGUAGAUAUCUGAAGGAACAUCAGUGGCGAAAGCGACUUCCUGGACCAAUACUGACGCUCAUGUGCGAAAGCGUGGGGAGCAAACAGG
rnacentral:rRNA from 1 species